rnacentral:rRNA from 1 species
UGCAAGUCGAGCGAAUGGAUUAAGAGCUUGCUCUUAUGAAGUUAGCGGCGGACGGGUGAGUAACACGUGGGUAACCUGCCCAUAAGACUGGGAUAACUCCGGGAAACCGGGGCUAAUACCGGAUAACAUUUUGCACCGCAUGGUGCGAAAUUGAAAGGCGGCUUCGGCUGUCACUUAUGGAUGGACCCGCGUCGCAUUAGCUAGUUGGUGAGGUAACGGCUCACCAAGGCAACGAUGCGUAGCCGACCUGAGAGGGUGAUCGGCCACACUGGGACUGAGACACGGCCCAGACUCCUACGGGAGGCAGCAGUAGGGAAUCUUCCGCAAUGGACGAAAGUCUGACGGAGCAACGCCGCGUGAGUGAUGAAGGCUUUCGGGUCGUAAAACUCUGUUGUUAGGGAAGAACAAGUGCUAGUUGAAUAAGCUGGCACCUUGACGGUACCUAACCAGAAAGCCACGGCUAACUACGUGCCAGCAGCCGCGGUAAUACGUAGGUGGCAAGCGUUAUCCGGAAUUAUUGGGCGUAAAGCGCGCGCAGGUGGUUUCUUAAGUCUGAUGUGAAAGCCCACGGCUCAACCGUGGAGGGUCAUUGGAAACUGGGAGACUUGAGUGCAGAAGAGGAAAGUGGAAUUCCAUGUGUAGCGGUGAAAUGCGUAGAGAUAUGGAGGAACACCAGU